rnacentral:rRNA from 1 species
CCUACGGGCGGCAGCAGUGGGGAAUAUUGCGCAAUGGGCGAAAGCCUGACGCAGCGACGCCGCGUGAGGGAUGAAGGUCUUCGGAUCGUAAACCUCUGUCAGCAGGGAAGAACGGUCACUGUGUUAAUCAGCAGUGAAUUUACGGUACCUGCAAAGGAAGCACCGGCUAACUCCGUGCCAGCAGCCGCGGUAAUACGGAGGGUGCGUGCGUUAAUCGGAAUUACUGGGCGUAAAGCGCUCGUAGGCGGUAUGGCGAGUCAAGGGUGAAAUCCCCGCGCUCAACGUGGGAAUUGCAUUUGAAACUGGCAAACUGGAGGGUGGGAGAGGAUAGUGGAAUGCCAGGUGUAGGAGUGA